rnacentral:rRNA from 1 species
AAAUUGAAGAGUUUGAUCAUGGCUCAGAUUGAAUGCUGGCGGCAGGCCUAACACAUGCAAGUCGAACGGUAACAGGAAACAGCUUGCU